rnacentral:rRNA from 1 species
AUUGAACGCUGGCGGCAGGCCUAACACAUGCAAGUCGAGCGAGCGGCGGACGGGGGAGUAAAGUCUGGGAAACUGCCUGAUGGAGGGGGAUAACUACUGGAAACGGGAGAUAAUAAAGCAUACCAUCAGAUGUGCCCAGAUGGGAUUAGAUGGUAGGUGGGGUAACGGACCACCGAGGCGACGAUCCCUCGCUGGUCUGAGAGGAUGACCAGACACACUGGAACUUAGACACGGUCCAGACUCCUACGGGAGGCAUCAGUGGGGAUUAUUGCACAAUGGGCGCAAGCCUGAUGCAGCCAUGCCGCGUGAGUGAAGAAGCCCGUCGGGUUGUAAAGCACUUUCAGCGGGGAGGCGUUACCCGCAGAAGAAGCACCGGCUAACUCCGUGCCAGCAGCCGCGGUAAUUC